CCUACGGGUGGCAGCAGUCGAGAAUCAUUCACAAUGGGGGAAACCCUGAUGGUGCGACGCCGCGUGGGGGAAUGAAGGUCUUCGGAUUGUAAACCCCUGUCAUGUGGGAGCAAAUUAAAAAGAUAGUACCACAAGAGGAAGAGACGGCUAACUCUGUGCCAGCAGCCGCGGGAAUACAGAGGUCUCAAGCGUUGUUCGGAAUCACUGGGCCUAAAGCGUGCGUAGGCUGUUUCGUAAGUCGUGUGUGAAAGGCGCGGGCUCAACCCGCGGACGGCACAUGAUACUGCGAGACUAGAGUAAUGGAGGGGGAACCGGAAUUCGCGGUGUAGCAGUGAAAUGCGUAGAUAUCGAGAGGAACACUCGUGGCGAAGGCGGGUUCCUGGACAUUAACUGACGCUGAGGCACGAAGGCCAGGGGAGCGAAAGGGAUUAGAUACCCUAGUAGUC
rnacentral:rRNA from 1 species